CAGCUUGUUGGCGAGGUAACGGCUCACCAAGGCUACGACGGGUACCGGGGCUGAGAGGUCGGCCCGGCGCACUGGGACUGAGACACUGCCCAGACUCCUACGGGAGGCUGCAGCAACGAAUAUUCCGCAAUGGACGCAAGUCUGACGGAGCGACGCCGCGUGUGGGAAGACGGCCCUCGGGUUGUAAACCACUGUCAGGGGUUACCAAGCAAAGAGAGUUAAUAGCUCUCGGCGUUGAGGAGCCCCAGAGGAAGCCACGGCUAACUUCGUGCCAGCAGCCGCGGUAAUACGAAGGUGGCGAGCGUUGUUCGGAAUCACUGGGCUUAAAGAGCACGUAGGCGGCCUGUCAAGCGUCUUGUGAAAUCCCUCGGCUCAACCGAGGAAUUGCUGGGCGAACUGGCAGGCUUGAGGCAGGUAGGGGCGCGUGGAACUCUUGGUGGAGCUGUGGAAUGCGUAGAUAUCAAGAGGAACGCCGGAGGUGAAAACGGCGCGCUGGGCCUGUUCUGACGCUGAGGUGCGAAAGCCAGGGGAGCGAACGGGAUUAGAUACCCCGGUAGUCCUGGCCCUAAACGAUGUCCACUCGGCCGGAGUAAUUCUGACAUUUUUCCGGUUCAAGCGAAAGCGUUAAGUGGACCGCCUGGGGAGUACGGUCGCAAGGCUAAAACUCAAAGGAAUUGACGGGGGCUCACACAAGCGGUGGAGCAUGUUGCUUAAUUCGAUCCAACGCGAAGAACCUUAUCCUGGGUUUGACAUGUGCGGAUGCCUACUGGGAAACCAGGUCGGCUGACCUUCGGGUUGAAACGUACACAGGUGCUGCAUGGCUGUCGUCAGCUCGUGUCGUGAGAUGUUGGGUUAAGUCCCGUAACGAGCGAAACCCCUGUCGCUAGUUGCCAGCAGGCCUUCGGGCGCUGGGGACUCUAGCGAGACUGCCGGUGUUAAACCGGAGGAAGGUGGGGAUGACGUCAAGUCCUCAUGGCCUUUAUGCCCAGGGCUGCAAACGUGCUACAAUGGCCGGUACAAACCGACGCGAACCCGCGAGGGAGAGCAAAUCGGAAAAAACCUGCCCCAGUUCGGAUUGGAGUCUGCAACUCGACUCCAUGAAGUUGGAAUCGCUAGUAAUCGCGUAUCAGCGUGACGCGGUGAAUAUGUUCCUGAGCCUUGUACACACCGCCCGUCAAGUCAUGGAAGCCGGGAGCGCGCGAAGUCGGGGCGUUUCAGCCCUGCUGAACGUGAGCUCGGUAACUAGGACUAAGUCGUAACAAGGUA
rnacentral:rRNA from 1 species